CGUAAAGCUCUGUUGUUAGGGAAGAACAAGUACCGUUCGAAUAGGGCGGUACCUUGACGGUACCUAACCAGAAAGCCACGGCUAACUACGUGCCAGCAGCCGCGGUAAUACGUAGGUGGCAAGCGUUGUCCGGAAUUAUUGGGCGUAAAGGGCUCGCAGGCGGUUUCUUAAGUCUGAUGUGAAAGCCCCCGGCUCAACCGGGGAGGGUCAUUGGAAACUGGGGAACUUGAGUGCAGAAGAGGAGAGUGGAAUUCCACGUGUAGCGGUGAAAUGCGUAGAGAUGUGGAGGAACACCAGUGGCGAAGGCGACUCUCUGGUCUGUAACUGACGCUGAGGAGCGAAAGCGUGGGGAGCGAACAGGAUUAGAUACCCUGGUAGUCCACGCCGUAAACGAUGAGUGCUAAGUGUUAGGGGGUUUCCGCCCCUUA
rnacentral:rRNA from 1 species